UAAACGAAUAGAGGCAAGCAAACAGUGCUGGGUGCACCGGGAGUCUCUGCUCCACCAAGACGCACACUGUACAAAACUUACUUUCGGUUUAUAUUUCCUAAACUAAUACAUACUCAUAGCUAUUUCUAAGAAAGGGUUGGUUUAUGUAAAUGGAUCCUUGGAAUAGGCGUGUACUCCGUGGUGCAUGCUCUUUCCAUCUCUGAGGGUCUUCUUGACUCCUAUCUGGUGGUCAAUGGAUGAAGUCAGCAGUCUUCCUCAGCUCACCCUUAGGAUGACCCUAGAUUUUAUGCAUGCGCCCUGUAAGCUUCUCUUACUUAACACUGUGCAGUUAGCAGCUCAGCCUGCAUAUCAGGGUGUGUAACCAGAUGUCCUUUGCAAGAUACAGGAACUAUAUACAUUGAUCACUCUGUUUUUUCUUAGGCAUGUGGUUAUACAAGGGUAUGUAAGACAGAAGGUUACAUUUCAUCAUGUGGCCCUAGCAUUGUUCCAUAUUGACACAAAUCAGAUGAACACAUUUCACAGCAGUUACCAAAAAUCAUCAUCCCGAUUUGGCAUUUGUGCCGACUGCUCUCUGCUGGGUAGCUCAAUUCUCAGUGCUGAAGCAUCACUUCACACCCAACAAUUAUUUUGCUAUUUUAUCUUCUGGCAAAGGACUGUGAGCAGAUUGUAGUUUGGUUUUAUUUUGGCAGGUAUUUUUUUGAAGCCCAAAUAAACUCAUUUGUUUCCCCUGGCGUGCAGGGAACUAUAUUAACGUGUAUUAAAAAGUAAGGGUUUCCUUCACAGAAACAGGGAUCUGUCGUUGCUGUUGUGUUCGUGAAAAGGUUUAACAGUUUUUAGUAUAUUGUAUUAACAUCUGAUUGUGAAAUAAAGCUAAUUGGUUUGUAGUUUGUCUUUCAGUGUUAGUAUAAACGUAACCAGAUUCAAGAUAGAUCGCUCAUUAAUAUUGCUGACAGCAUUUGUUGCAUGGUUUGGGUUGUUUGUUUUGGGGUUUUUUUGUCUAACAUGUCUGGCUGGUUUUAUGUGGACACAGUUGGCUGGGGAAGCGAUCAGCAGGGGAUUGGAGGAUUUGGAGAGGAACCAGGAAUUAAAGCGCAGCUAAUGAACCUUAUUCGAUCUGUACAAACCUUUAUGAGAGUGCCACUAAUAGCAGUGAACUCUGUUACAAUCGUUCUGCUCCUGUUGUUUGGUUGAGGAUACGUAGUGAAAAUCUUUUGGACGUCCAAGAAGCAAGUUGCUAACCAUCACUGCUCUGAGUUUCCUGGGAUCCAGCAUGGUUUAGCUGUCAAUUUGACAUUCAACUUAAAAUAAUAAAGACACUAUUUCUAUUUAUCCCUAUUUCCUAAUGUUCACCUUGCAGUUUCAUUAAACAAGAUAACGGGAUCAGUGCAACAGUGCUGCAAAUAUAUUGGACUAUGAGAAGUUCUGUUGCUGCCUGUAAUAGCGUUGACUGUUAGAGUACACGUCGUAACAUAUUGCGAUGAUUGUCGAUAGGAUGCGGUUUUUAAAUGUCUCGUUACUCAGGGGAUGAAUUUCCUUCAGUACGCUUCCCAAUUUAUUUUUAAAUUAAAGAGCACUGUUGUUUUUCUUAUUUCAAUUACUAUCACAGUACUAUUUAAGAGAAUAUGAAUUGGGCUCUGAAAGCAUGUUAUAAAUUAUUGAAGCACAGUUGUGAUGUUGAGAGAGAUAAAACUAGUUGGGUAAAGUCCUGAUUCAGUUCAUAUUGGAAGUCAAAUUUUCCUGGUUUGAUCAAGACCAGGAUUUUUCUCUUGGUGUUUCACAGCCUUUUCAAAUCUAUGUUUCCUGAUGAUGGUGAAGUUAAAAAUAGAUGCAAUUGCUAUGCAAAAUCUAAAAAAGCUGUACCUGAAGUUGGGCAACUCUGUUAAUUUAGAGUAGCAGGUGAUAUUGGUGAUUAGCAUUUGUUACUGUUCUGUCAAGGAUUAUACUUUUUAAAAUGUGUGUUAAACUUCUGCGUGGUGAUUAGUGUGUUGGAAGUGGGAACCAUUUGUAUUCUGAGCUUCUUGGGGAAUGUGGGAGGGGAAUACUGUGCCCUUUUCAAAUGCAAUUUGUUAAAAAAACCAGCAAAUUUGCAGUUUCUUCUAUUACUGCUGCUUCUUCCCUCCAUCUUGCAUUGUUAACAACUUUGAAACUAUGGGUAUGAUCCUGCAGUUCUGUCACAGAGAAUAUUGCUUUGGUACAGAGCUUGUCUCAGUUAUGACUGUUGAGUUAGGUCCGAUGCUAUGUAGCAGGUUUGAACUGAAUAAGGCUGAUCCUCAUGAACCUUUUUAGAAAAGUUAAUUCUUACAUCUGUUCCUCUGCUGAAGUGUUUUAGCUUAUUGUUAAAGAGGGAAGGCCAAAGGAAACCUGGCAGCUUCAUUAUUUUCAAACAGCUUAGUUUGUCAUCUCUUCUUUCAAUGUCUUGAUGACUAAAGCAUAUGCUGUUGUAUACAAAGAUAAAUCUGUAAAAUGUGUAAAUUAAUUUAAUGAUCUUCAAUUGCAGCGUUUUGCAGAGUAGAGUAUAUUCAGGAGGAGAGUUUUAUGUUCCUUUUUUAGUGAAAAUUUGUAAAUAAAUUCUGAAUUUCUAAGUUAAGCACUCUCUUUCGUAACUCACUCUAUAUGGUGUACAGUGGGAAUAUCCCAAAACUCUGCUUCAUUCUGUUCCAGAUACCAGAUUUACUGUUCUUACAUGAAAUACUUUUUUUUUUUUCUCAUCCAUGUGGCACUUGCGAGUAUCAUCUCUUUGCUAUGAAGCUGUAUUUUGGUUUAUGUAGCAAACCUAAAGAGCCAUGGUAACGUUGGCCUGAGGCGGGAUGGGAUCAUGCUAGUCUUUAAAUUUGAAAGUAGGUAGAUCUAUUAUAAAGUAUUUCUUUAUAAUUUUGUGUAGUUCAGAGGUGAUGAGGGUACAGUCUGGAUCGGUUAUUUUCAUAUAUCUGUCUUUCAUGGAAUCUGGAUGGUAUAUACAUGGAACAGGUAAAACAUGGAAGGUAUGCAGGCAUUUUUGUAAAAUUUUUGCAAAAAAUAAAAAAGUGGUAAUGUUUC